CAGUCGAACGGGAAGAGAUGAAGAGCUUGCUCUUUAUCGAAUCCAGUGGCAAACGGGUGAGUAACACGUAAACAACCUGCCUUCAGGAUGGGGACAACAGACGGAAACGACUGCUAAUACCGAAUACGUUCCACGGGUCGCAUGACCUGUGGAAGAAAGGGUAGCCUCUACCUGUAAGCUUUCGCCUGAAGAGGGGUUUGCGUCUGAUUAGGCAGUUGGUGGGGUAACGGCCCACCAAACCAACGAUCAGUAGCCGGUCUGAGAGGAUGAACGGCCACACUGGAACUGAGACACGGUCCAGACUCCUACGGGAGGCAGCAGUGGGGAAUCUUCCGCAAUGGACGAAAGUCUGACGGAGCAACGCCGCGUGAGUGAAGACGGCCUUCGGGUUGUAAAGCUCUGUGAUCCGGGACGAAAGAGCCUUGGGUAAAUAGCCUAAGGAAGUGACGGUACCGGAAAAGCAAGCCACGGCUAACUACGUGCCAGCAGCCGCGGUAAUACGUAGGUGGCAAGCGUUGUCCGGAAUUAUUGGGCGUAAAGCGCGCGCAGGCGGCUUCCUAAGUCCAUCUUAAAAGUGCGGGGCUUAACCCCGUGAUGGGAUGGAAACUGGGAAGCUGGAGUAUCGGAGAGGAAAGUGGAAUUCCUAGUGUAGCGGUGAAAUGCGUAGAGAUUAGGAAGAACACCGGUGGCGAAGGCGACUUUCUGGACGAAAACUGACGCUGAGGCGCGAAAGCGUGNGGAGCAAACAGGA
rnacentral:rRNA from 1 species